AGGACGAACGCUGGCGGCGUGCUUAACACAUGCAAGUCGAGCGGUAAGGCCCUUUCGGGGGUACACGAGCGGCGAACGGGUGAGUAACACGUGAGUAGUCUGCCCUCCACUUGGGGAUAAGCUUCGGAAACGGGGUCUAAUACCUGAUACGGCAACUACCUGCAUGGGUUGGUUGUGGAAAGUUUUUCGGUGGGGGAUGUGCUCGCGGCCUAUCAGCUUGUUGGUGGGUAAUGGCCUACAAGGCUUCGACGGGUA
rnacentral:rRNA from 1 species